rnacentral:lncRNA from 1 species
AAUAUCUAUAACCUUUACUGUAGAGAGAGAGAGAGAGAGAGAGAGAGAGAGAGAGAGAAGGGUACUCUCUUUAAUCUAAGGACACUCCGUCACUGCAACUAGAUCAAGUGCAGGUGGCUCCGUGGGAGGAAAUCUUGCUGCCGAAACUCAUUUCGUGCGAAAAUCCCUAAAUUAAAAGGACGAGGUACUGAUCCAUAACCGCUUCCUAUGAAAUGAAGAAGAUUAAAGAGAUAAGGAUUAUGGAAGAUGAGUGGUACAAGAAGGGAUAUACAAGGGCUUGAGAGAAAAACGAAAAUGGAAAAAGAAUGGUGAGUUUUAUUGAACCAAUAUAAUAAGCGGGGUUGGUAUGAAUAAAGAUAGAUUGGAAGAAGAAUUUUACAAGGUAUUGUUAACAAACUUUGGGAUUUUUUUCUAAUAAACUUAUUUUUUAUUUGUUUGCAAUUUGAGAACUUAUUUUGAAGGACGAAAUAAUUUGGAGUUAUUCAGGAAAAGAUUUAGAUUUGAUUUAUAGAAUACUAUAAUAAAACAUAAGGAUUUUUUUUUAUCUUACUGUUCAUUUGGUUCACCAUAUGAAAACUUAUUUUGAACACUAUGAAGUAAUUUAGAGUUGUUUGGGGGAAAAGAUUGGUAUUUGAUUUUACAGAAAAUUAAAAAGAUCAUUCUUUUUUGCAAUUAUUUAUUAAUUUUAAUCAGUUUUUGGGAUGGAAUGGAACAAAUUUAUUAAAACUUCAAAUUAAAGUGCAAAUUUAAUUGUGUUCUAGCCGUAUGAUCAAGAUUACUAUCCAAUCGGGAGAAAAAGAAGUAAAGAUUACAAAGAGGGAAUGGUAGGAUGAAUUUAAAGUUUUCAUGAUUUAGUUUGGAAAGUUUGAUAGUAAUUUAAAGUGUUAGGAUGAUGAUUUAGUAAUUUUUUCCCCUGCAGUACGAGCUUCUAUUUUACUGUCAUGGAUAGGUAAUUAAAUUGUUUAGCCCUGUAUUUGUUUGCUCUUAAUGAGUCAUAUAUGAAAUUCAUCAAUGUGUUGAAGAGGAAAUUUGGAUAUUGCUAUGCAGGUAGUUGUGCAUGGAACACCAUAAGCUGAGUUGUAAGUUAAAUAACUCAAAUAUUUGUUAUUUAAUGUUUGUGUAAACUAAUUCCAUGAAAUUGAAAUCAUAUGCUUGGAAGACUUUGAUCGACAUGUUAGUUUUAAUUUUUUUUUCUAUUGUGAAAGUAAUUGUGUUGAUCAUGUUUUAUUUUAGGAAGACUGAAAGAGUUUCAGAUAAAGAACCUCUGAGGAUAACAGAGAUUAAUUUGAUAGAGCACUAUCUAUUGUGAGUGGAAAUAAACUUACAUAUGACUUUUUCAUGAUUUUAGAAAUUUAAAAUCUAAAAAGAUGGAAUAUGCAAAUUCAUUCUUUUUUUUUAAUAUCAUGUCUUAGUUAUUGGAACUUUUCGAGUGAAAUAUUGUGGUCUAGAAAUAUUAGGGCCAAUAGGGGUAGUGUCUGUUAAUCUCUUAAAUAAGUUUUAGGUGAGAGUAGUGGAAUAGAAUCUGAAUUUUGUAUUUUUAGUACUCAUAUAAUUUGUCUAAGUUCUUAUAUUUUCUUCUUUUCUUUGGGAACACUUAUUAAAACAUUAGUUUGUCUUUGUUUUGGUCACUCUACUUCUAUCCUUAUGCGUGCAUUCAAUAUGUUAGAGUGUCUUUUGUACAUAGAUUAUAUAGGAUGAAGAUAUAUGUUCCUAAAAUCUCCUUAAACUUGAUCUUCAUUUCUCUAGAUAAAUUAAAUGACAUGAAAAAUUAAUUGAUCGGUAAUGUGUAUACAUGCAAUCUUGAGAAGGCAAAGCGACUACUUAUAUGAAGGAGCGCAUUUGUAGACAAUAGAGGUAUAUACGUUGGAUUGUUACACAUUCUGGUCCUCUCUAUUAUAAAUGAAAUUUUGUUUGUUAGUUUGUUUGCAUUUCACAUUAUGUUCAGUUUUAUUUUAUAAUUAGCAGGGAUGCGACUAUUUUAGAAAAUGACAUAAUUAAUUAAUCUAAGAAAUGAGCUAGUAAGAGAUAAUCACGAGAUUUUUACAACUGAAGCCAAUCCAUAAAUUAGUAUUAUUUUCCAUGUGUAUGAAAGGACUUUGGUCCACAUUUCCUGAAUAUCCACAAGCAGCAUUUGAAACACUGCCUACAUAUUUUGCAUAGUUUGGUAUUAUAUUAUGCAUGGUUUAUUAACUAUUUUAACUUAUGCAUUAAAGUAGAAUCUAGAUUUGUUUCAUAAAUUAGUUUGACAAUGCCUGCAGAGAGGAGGAUUUGACUCAAGUAAAUUUGAAAUGAUCUUAGAUGAUUGAUAAAUAUAUAGUAUAUAAAUGGUUCCCUGGGGACAAUUGCAAAAUAUAUGUCCUAUGCUUGUUUGGUACUUGGUGUAUGCUAAAAGAGUGCUAGAGUAUACUAUUACUAUGGUUUUCAAAUAAUGCAUGACCUUGUUCUUGAAGAUGAAGAUGAGUAACAAAUUCAAAGCGAUGAGCAAAAUACUUGAUGGAAUGUUAAGAAGUAAGAAUGUACAAUCCAUCUUCUUGAAGUCUAAAAACAAAUGAAGAUGAAGAAUCAUUUUGUAAUUAUGAAGUUGAACAACGAAUGAACUAACAUUUAUAUUUUAUUACAUGUAUUGUUGAAAGUAUUGGAUUAUUAUUUUAAUAAAA